AAAAAUUUAUCUUUGGAAGAGUUAAUUAGGUGAAGUAAAACAUUCUAGUAACCUGUAAUAUAAAUCAAACGAGAAAAUGUUAGUAGUGGUGAGCGAAUAUAUUGUAAGGCAAAAAAGCAAGUAAAAUGUAUGAAUUCCAAAGAAGGUUUUAGUCCUGUAGUACUUUUUAUUUGUUUUUUAAUAAAUGACGGAUUAUGUUAAAUUUGUUGUUAAUUUAGGAGAUCUACCUUCGUGCCUAAAGUUUUUAAUGAUCGAUAGUGAACAAGUACCGUAAGGGAAAGGUGAAAAAGGACUUUUUUAGAGUGAAAAGAACCUAAAAUUUAGUGCAUUAAAGCUGUUAGAGCUAAUUAAUUAGUUAUAGCGUACCUUUUGCAUAAUGGGCCAGUGAGUUUAUAAGGAAGGCAAGUUUAAACUUCGUGUAGACAAAGAUAAGUCAAGAUUGUUUGAAAUAGUAGCUAUAGUCUUUUUUUAUAAAACCCGAAGCUAAGUGAUCUAACCAUGAGCAGGUUGAUAUUUUUAUGGCAACGUAAUUUGGAGGACCGAACCCGUAUUUGUGGAAAAAAAUUGGGAUGACUUGUGGUUAGGGGUGAAAGGCUAAUCAAACUUAGGGAUAGCUGGUUUUCUGCGAAAUAUAUUUUAGUAUAGCCUGCAAUAAAUCAAAAUUUGGGUAGAGCACUUUUAAAGUAAAGGGGGUCGUAGACCUUACUAAACUUUGAAAAACUUCGAAUAAAUUUUUGAUACUUUUUGUGGAGUCAGACUAUCGGUGCAAAGGUCGAUAGUCCAUUGGGAAACAGCCCAGUAUAUUUAAUAAGGCCUUUAAUAUUAGUUAAGUGUUAAGAUUGCAAAUAACAGAGACGAUCAUAAAGUAGGCUUAGAAGCAGUCAUUUUUUUGAGAAAGCGUAACAGCUCAUUGAUUUAGUUAUUUUGUAUCAAAAAUUUAGUGAGUCUAAAUUAAUAGCCGACUUAGUAUUAUAGUUAGCAGAACGUUUUAUAUAUUGAUAAAGGUUAUUUGUUAAAAUAACUUUAAAUAAUAAAAGUGAGGAUACUGGCAUUAGUAGCUAAAAAUAACGAAAUAACGUUAUCGCCGUAAAUCUAAGGUUUUCGAUUCAAUUUUUAAAAAAAUCGUAAUUUUAAUUUAAAAAUAUGCGGUCCCUAAGGCAAAUUACAAAAGUAUAAGCUAAUGGGAAGUUUAGUUUUAUAGUUACAAAAUUUUAAAUACAUUAAAUAAUAGUGAUUUCUUUGAUGUUAAAAAAUUUUCUGGAAACAGCUGAACAUGAAAUACCGUACCCUAAACCGACACAGGUGGACUGGUAGAGAAUACCAAGGCGCUUG
rnacentral:rRNA from 1 species